ACUGUUACCGAAUCCAGGCAACCCCCGACCGAGAGCCAGCGCUAAAACUAUAAAAACGAUCCCUCGCUGCGCCUUUGCCUCUUUUUUGUGCGUGGCGUUCGUGUGUGCGGUUCUUGUUGAAACAUGUUUGGUUCUUGUGUAAUUUUAACAGUUUUCGUUAAUAGUAAAUUGAAAUCAUUUUGUUAGAAGUUUUGUUAAUUCAGUGAAAUGUAAUUAGGCCAGUUCUGUGUUAUUUAUUUCUUUUUGUUAACUACCUCACUUCUGGUCGAUAAUAUCAGAAUUGGGAUAAAACCACGUGCUUUUGGAAAAGUGACGGGACGUCGAUGUAGAAAAUACAGGCGCGAUCAUUCUCAUCGACGCUGUCAUGACCGCUCGAAUUCUAGAUUUAGGAGUUUGUUGCAUUAAUCAUCGUCGCGAUCGUGUUGUGUGUAGGAAGAGCAAGACACCUACGCCGCAGGAUGUCUCCUGGCAUAGUUCCGUGGAACCGUUGUUUGGAACAUAAUUAUACUCCAGCAACGGUUUCCGUCGAAGGCGGUGACGCAUGUGCACCUGAGUACCCUGGAACAGCGUCAAGCAAAUCGGCGGGUGUGUGUAGCAGUGCUGGUCAGCAGAUGGACGGCGUGACGAACAGGAUUAUUGGAGCAUUGCAGGUGCUAUCUAAACUUUGACAAUAGAGGCGCCUUCUGUCUGAUUUGUUCACAGACGCAGGGCGUUGUCGCCGACGUGUGAGGUCAGUAGCGAGUCGGCGCCGUGCUCCAGCAGGAGAGCGCAGAGCCGUGCAGACUGCACGUGUUGCUCGCGUGCCGCUGCCUGCGCGCGUUCAUCUACUUCUGGCGUGCAUACUGCAUGAGAUGCUCGCGUGCCACCGACUGCACGGUGCCGCUACCUGCGCGCGCUCACCUGCUUCAGACGUGCAUACUGCGCGCACUGCUCGCGUGCCGCUACCUGCGCGCGCUCGCCUGCUUCAGACGUGCAUACUGCACGUGUUGCUCGCGUGCCGCUGCAUGCGCGCGCUCACCUACUUCUGACGUGCAUACUGCACGUGUUGCUCGCAUGCCGCCGACUGCACGGUGCUGUACGACUGGCAGUGACGCAGAGGGCGAUGUCGCUUAGUCUGCGGCCUGCUGCUGCGGACUACCCAACGGAUUGUCUAUCAGGACGGUCGAGCGGGACGCCCGCCACACGUGGUGCAGCCUCGCAUCGUGGGAGCAGACUGGAGCUGGGACGGCUGCCCUGCUUCCACAUCAUCCUUACGAGUGGACCUCGGUGACAUGCAGCCUUUUCUUCGAAAUUAAUAUGUGAAGGUCGAGGUGGGCACUUCGGUGCUUUACUUCCCAUUUUUGAGGUUGAGGUGGGCACGACGGUGCUUUACUUCCCAUUUUUGAGGUUGAGGUGGGCACGACGGUGCUUUACUUCCCGUUUAUUUUUUGAGCAGUAUGGUUAGAUGCGGAUUCGGCCGGAUUUUGCGUCCCUACUGUGUUUUAGCUGUGUUGUGUAUGUAAUGUUCAGUAUCUGUAUCGGUGAAUAUUGCAGACAACAGCGCGCUACUGUUUUAGACGUUUCCUGUACGGGCUAACUCAGUAAAGGAAUCGUGCAGGUGUUUCAAAUUGCGCAGUUUGGGACAGUUGUGCGAUAUCCAUUCUUCUCACUUCAAAUAUUUAUUUUUGGCUCGUCCUCGCUGCAGAUGUAAGAGUGCACGCUUGCGUCUGUAGUAGGGAUUCUAAAUUUUAAAAAGUUUUAGAGCAUUAAGGUCUGGGUGUAAUUUUUUUUUGUUACGUUACAGAGGGUGACCUUGUUGAUGCAAGCUCUGACGUAGCUGGAAGAGAUAUGCUUCUGCUGAGAGAUGAAGCGGUCGAGGACGCCUCGCCAUCAGGAACGGCCGUGUUACCGAAUCCAGGCAACCCCCGACCGAGAGCCAGCGCUAAAACUAUAAAAACGAUCCCUCGCUGCGCCUUUGCCUCUUUUUUGUGCGUGGCGUUCGUGUGUGCGGUUCUUGUUGAAACAUGUUUGGUUCUUGUGUAAUUUUAACAGUUUUCGUUAAUAGUAAAUUGAAAUCAUUUUGUUAGAAGUUUUGUUAAUUCAGUGAAAUGUAAUUAGGCCAGUUCUGUGUU